rnacentral:rRNA from 1 species
GAUGAACGCUAGCGGGAGGCCUAACACAUGCAAGCCGAGCGGUAUUGUUUCUUCGGAAAUGAGAGAGCGGCGUACGGGUGCGGAACACGUGUGCAACCUGCCUUUAUCUGGGGGAUAGCCUUUCGAAAGGAAGAUUAAUACUCCAUAACAUAUUGAACGGCAUCGUUUAAUAUUGAAAGCUCCGGCGGAUAGAGAUGGGCACGCGCAAGAUUAGCUAGUUGGUGAGGUAACGGCUCACCAAGGCGAUGAUCUUUAGGGGGCCUGAGAGGGUGAUCCCCCACACUGGUACUGAGAAACGGACCAGACUCCUACGGGAGGCAGCAGUGAGGAAUAUUGGUCAAUGGGUGCAAGCCUGAACCAGCCAUCCCGCGUGAAGGACGACUGCCCUAUGGGUCGUAAACUUCUUUUGUAUAGGGAUAAACCUACCCUCGUGAGGGUAGCUGAAGGUACUAUACGAAUAAGCACCGGCUAACUCCGUGCCAGCCGCCGCAGUAAUAC